AUAGCACCCCAAACAGGUUCCUGCCUCUUGAUGUAGGCUUGGAUUUGGUAGCUGGUGCUGACAUGAAAACUCUCCACUGCAGCUUGCAGCCAGGCUGUUUCUGUGCUGUCUGCGUUACAAGCAUGGAGAGACAGAA
rnacentral:snoRNA from 1 species